GUAACGUUAUUAACAACAGUUUUUUUUGGACAAUAUAUGAACAACAUUGGGCUCUACAAGUUUGGUAAUUGGAAUGAGUACAAUCUAAAUCCCUUAAUGAGGAUCCAUUGGAGGGCAAGUCUGGUGCUAGCAGCUGCAGUAAUUCCAGCUCCAAUAGCGUAUAUUUAAGUUGUUGCAGUUAAAAAGCUCGUAGUUGGACCUUGGGUUGGGUUGGCCGGUCCGCCAUUAGGUGUGCACCGGUCGGCAUGUCUCUUCUCUUCCGUCGAUGCUCUCCUGGCCUUGGUUGGCUGGACGUGCCUUCGACGUUGUUAUUUUGAAGAAAUUAGAGUGCUCGAAGCAAGCCUAUGCUUUGGAUACAUUAGCAUGGGAUAACAUCAUAGGAUUCCGGUCCUAUUCUGUUGGCAUUCAGAAUCGGAAUAAUGAUUAAUAGGGACAGUCGGGGGCAUUUGUAUUUCAUAGUCAUAGGUGAAAUUCUUGGAUUUAUGAAAGAUGAACAACUGCGAAAGUAUUUGCCAAGGAUGUUUUCAUCAAUCAAGAACGAAAGUUGGGGGCUCGAAGACAAUCAGAUACCGUCCUAGUCUCAACCAUAAACGGUGCCGACCAAGGAUCGGCGGAUAUUACUUUAAGAACCCUGCUGACACCUUAUGAGAAAUUAAAGUCUUUGGGUUCCG
rnacentral:ncRNA from 1 species